rnacentral:misc_RNA from 1 species
GGGAGAUCUAUUUGAUGACAAAAUGAGAUGGGUUAACACAACUAGAUAAUUACUAAUUAAUUACCAAACAACCCAAUUCUUAGGCUUUGACAUUGGGUUUCGGAGAUGGAUGGGGUUGCUGAUGAUGAUAUGGAGAAGCAUGAGAACCAUUCGCGACUGAAUAGCUGCGUAGUUGCUGCCCGUUCUUUGGAACCGGUCCAGCUGCUGUGUGGUAGCCGUUUCUCGCCAUUGGGCUGGAUCGUAUGCGGUCAGCUUGCAUUGUCUGAAAAUAAUAAGAUGAACUUGCCAUAUCCUUGAGGUUUGGGAGAGGCUUCAAGGCUUCAACAACUUCACUCAUCAAAGGUCUGACCUUUUGAUCUCGGCUAAGGCACUGAGCAGCUAAUUGUACUGCUUUUUGGGCAC